rnacentral:lncRNA from 1 species
UAUAAAUUGCUGGGAAGUGAGUUGCUGGCUAUGGCUUGUCAGAGCAAAUAUAUUGUACAAAUCUUAGGGGAGAAUUAGUGCUUAUGCAUUCAAAUCAAAUCAUCUUGCAGCACACUGAGAAAAAGGUUAGAUUUUUAAAAUAAUUUCGAAGUCAUGAAAAGAGCAAAUAUGCUCAACAAAGAGCCUAGCAACCCUCAAUGACCAAUUCCCCUUUUAUAUAGUUUGGUAUCUGAAUUAGAAUCCCAGAAUCUACAAAUUCCUCUGGGUGUGGGUGCUGCAUUUUGAGGAUUUUAUAACACUGCCAUCAUCAAGC